rnacentral:lncRNA from 1 species
CUGAAAGAUGGGAGGAGUGGCAAAAAGAGGAGGUGUUCCGCCAAGAUUUCAACCCUAUUCAUCAUCCAAGUACCAAUUGGAUCAUAGACUCAACUUCUCAUAUUCCUCCGGAUGAGUUGUCCGGUCCCAGAUGAUAUGCUCGUUGGUUCCGUCCCCUUGUAUACAUGUAAGAAGCCUUCAGAGGACUAGAGAAGGUCCAUUUUGUAUUUCAGUGAUACCACAUUUGUGCAUAUGUUUUGUCUUUGUUUUCGAUUUUGUUUUUGUCUCGCUUAUUUUUAAGAUCACAAAAAUGGAGCUGGUGCUGUUGUAAUUUUUAUAGGGUUAACUGGCAUUACGAAGUUAUAUGGUGCUAGCAGGAAUUAGGAAGGGCCAUAAAAGCACCCAUUCCUGAUGAUUUAUGUAUCUAUCCAGAAAUUAGUCCAAAUUGUGGAAUAAAUAAUCAUUCUGAACUUAUAACUAUCUAUAUUUUUGAGUGUUCCUAUAGAACCCAUAGAUACGAUAAGGACACUAGGUCAAUAUGAAGAAGAAGCAUUGCGAGCCGGAUGAGUUUACGUGCACGAUUAUGAUCAGAAUGGUUGGGAAAUUGGGUAAGGGCGACGAGUGUCUUGGGUUGUUCCAGGAGAUGGUGAACAAGGGUCGCGCUCCGAAUAUGAUGUUUUAUAGUACUAUGAUUCAGGCUCUUGCUCGGAGCAAGAUGGUUGACAAGGCCGUCGUUGUGUUCUCGAAAAUGGUACAGAACAAUUGCCGGCCUAAUGAAUUUACGUACAGUGUGGUUUUGAAUCUUUUGGUUGCAGAAGGGCAGCUGGGUGGGUUUGAUGAGGUGGUGGGGAUGUCGAAGAAGUACAUGACGAAGUCGAUAUAUGCAUAUCUUGUGAGGACAUUGAGUAAAUUGAGCCAUGCCUUGGAAGCUCACAGGUUGUUCUGCAACAUGUGGAGCUUCCACGACAUGGGGGAUCGGGAUGCAUAUACUUCAAUGUUGGAGUGUUUGUGCAGUGCAGGUAAAACUGCAGAGGCGGUUGACAUGCUAAGUAACAUUCAUGAGAAGGGGAUAACUACUGAUACUAUCAUGUACAAAGUUUUGGCAGCUCUUGGAAGGUUGAAGCAGAUACCCCAUCUUCAUGAACUGUACGAAAGGAUGAAACUUGAUGGGCCUGAACCGGACAUAUUUACCUACAACAUUAUGAUUUUGAGCUUUGGUAGAGCUGGGAAGGUUCAUGAGGCUGUGACGAUAUUCGAACAUCUCGAGAAUAGUGAUUGUAAACCGGAUAUUAUCUCUUUACAAUUCGUUGAUCAAUUGCCUUGGGAAAAAUGGUGAUGUGGAUGAAGCCCACAUGAGGUUUAAGGAGAUGCAAGAGAAGGGUUUUAGCCCUGAUGUCGUCGCCUACAGCACUCUGAUCGAGUGCUUUGGCAAGACGGAUAGGGUUGAAAUGGCAUGCAGGCUGUUCGACAACAUGCUUGCUCAAGGCUGCUAUCCGAAUAUAGUGACAUACAACAUCUUGCUUGAUUGUCUUGAGAGGUGUGGGAGGAUGCGAAACUUAAGCAGCAAGGGUUGACACCGGAUUGGAUUACAUACGCAGUGCUUGAACGCUUGCAGAGUGGUUCACAUAGGAGAGUUAGGGUUCGUAGGCAGAGUCCGAUCACAGGUUGGGUUGUGAGCCCUUUAAGGUGAUGAAUGGUGUAGAUAUACCGAAUUUUGCAUUAUUGCUUGUUUGGAGCCAGUUUCCAGUUCCUCCCAAGGCCGAAGCAUGUGGCUGCUGCUGCGACUACUCAAGAAACUUGCUUCCCACGGAGCCAUCACGACCAGGACCCGUUUUGUUCGCGGAAUGAGUUACUUGGGCAUGAAAAUUCAUGCUCAUUCCUGUGAGAUAGAAGCUGCCCCACUUGAGGUUUCGACGAAAAAUGAUUCUCACUUGCGGAACAUCACAAAUUUAGUAACAGAUUCACAAGGGUUGUUGAAAAUUUCAAUAAUUGAUGUGGAAGCAUGUCUUGUAUUUCAGAUUUGGUGUCUCACUGUCUUUCAGAAUUGAACUUUACGUGAACAAUGAACUAAACGCGUUUAUGCGCUGAAUUGGGUUACUAAGUUGCGCUGAAUUGGGUUACUAAGUUGGACGGUACUCACUUCAUAAGACAACUCAAAUAUUACCUAAGUUCGCAAAUAAAUCCAGUAAAAGUUACUAGUACAAAAUGUCAGACUGGAAGCAAGGAAGGAUCAGAAACAAAUCAAAUAGCUCCGGAUGUUUUAUCACACCACAAAAUCUACAAAAUUUUUCUACCACUCAUCGUCUAUCACAAGCUACACUUGAAAUGCCAUACGAGUGGAUCCCAAUAAGUUAUUGCAGUAAAUCAUACUUUUAAGUUCCAAACAAACCUGCGCAGUAAACCAAGCUCGGAGUACUUGAUCAACGCUUGACCCACUGGAAGCUCUUCCUUGCUUUUGCUUUUCCGGGUUUUUUCCUUUCCACCACACGCGAGUCCCUUGUCAAGAAACCAGCUGGAAACACAAACAAGUUGCCGGGUUAGCAAGAAAGGGGCAGAUAGAUAUUGCAAGGUUAAGAUCUGUUUCUCCUUAUAAGCCAGAAAUAACCAGCGGACAAAGGGGAAGAGAAAUAUUUACAUUCUUUUAGAGCAGGACGCAAAUCAGGUUCCCAAUUUUGCAAGGCCCUGCUCACUCCUAAUUGAAUUGCUCCAACUUGACCUGGAAAAAACACCUUUUUAAUUUUCCAUAUUUAACACAAACAAAAACGUUUAUGCAAAGAAUUAACGUACCGAACAUAUUAAACAUUGUUCUUUAAAAAAGAGUUACUAUUGAGAGUAACAAUUUGCACACACAGUAUUUUUGUACUCAACUACUAUAUAGGAAGAAGAGCCAGCAUCAAAAAGUACGAAACAAUCUUUAGAAAUUACAAUCAAUUCGUAUUUAAUUCUGUCGAGAUGUUGGCUCCAAUUUUCUUCUUCCUCUGCUCUGUUUCAGUUUAAUUAUUUGAUGUGAAAUGAAAAUCUAACACAAUUAAUUCACCCUAACAACCUAGGAAGAAAAAGACACUCGCAUUCAUUUGACUUCAUGAGAGCAAGGGGAAGAAAAGCUUUACUAACAUAUGGAACUGGACAGAAAUUUGUUUUCCAUGAGAGAUUGGCAGUGCAGGUAGUAAGUAGCGAGGCAAAUUUGUGGUUUUCUGGCAUAUAAAGCUAUAGAAUUGCAAGUUCAAGGAUAACGGAGGGAAACAGCAGUUGAAUUGGAUCUCAAACAAGUCAAUGUCAAGGAAAAAAGUCAACAUAUAAAUCAAAAUAAAGUGUGUAGCAACAAACUUAGGCUUACCUGUGGUGCCACCUCCUUGGACACUACAAGCGAUGUCCCAAAGGCCCAACGUUUUUGUCUCAGAGAAAGGUCGGAGGAGAGCAGCACGAUGAUCAAGCAUUGGAAAAUAGGUGUCAAAUUGUUUAUCAUUAAUUGUGAAUUUACCAUUACCAGGUUGAAUCCAGACACGUGCUACACUACAUUUCCUUCUUCCUGUUCCAUAAGCUCUCCCCUUGUCGUCUACUGUUCUCACUCUUGCUUUGGCAACUUCCUCCUGUUUCUGGCGCUCUAUUUCAGCUCUCGAGGAUUUUCUGGUAUUUUUCUCAUAACGAAUGUCUUCAAUCUCUGAAAGAGGGGGCAAUCCCUUUAUCCCUUGAAAAUCCUUCAAUGCAAUCAAAGUGUCAAGCAUUUCGUCUGUGAUUCCAGAUGCAGCAAUAAGGUCACCAAAGGCACGAUUCGGACCUGCAGUUACCAUACUGAAUCAGUAUAACACCUAAAGAGUCACCUAGCUGAUAAAUGAAUCAGCAACUGCAUUCAAAACAGAGUACUAUUUGAACUAUAAAAGUUCGAGAAAGCCGAAGAAAUAAUCUUAUCCCAUGUAGAGUGCUUGCAGCUAAACCUAACAAGAUACCUGAUCAUUUUAACUCCUCUCACUAAUCAAUAAGUAGUGUAGUUCCCAAAAUCAAAAGCACAACAAUAGACACACCAAUAUUUUAAUGAACUUGCAGACCUCCCAACAACGAAACAUGCAAUUGGUUGGUGCCCAAAUCAACCCAAAAGGAUUUAGUACAGUACAAGUUGUUCCACUAAGCUAUACACCUUCCUACUCUUAAGCAUAUCAAUGUUAUCCAGAAUUUAGGAAAAAUAACUAGCCUUUGAGAACAGCAGUAAGCUCCUGCUCCUCUUUCUCAAGCCUCUUAGCCUGUUCAGCCUUCUCAAUCUCCUCUCUACUUGUCUCACUGUCAAUGACAGUAACAGUCUGUACACCCUCUCCGAUAUCGAACAAGUCACUCUUCGCCUCCUCUCCCAAGCUCCACAUCUUGUACUCCUGCGAUGUAUCCCACUCCUCGCCUCCUUUCCCCUUCAACCAGUCGGAAUCGGCCUCGCUGGAUUCAACUUCUGCAAUCCCGGAAAUGUCCCCGGAGCUCUGGCCGAAUAAAAGGUCAAACUUUCCAUCGGUUUCCUGAGAAAGCCUCCAAACAUCUGAUUGGGAGGGACCCUUACCAUCGUCACUGGAGAAGAACCUUGGAGUGAAAGUAGCGAAAAGAGGGUUUUGGGGUUGGGGGAAGGGAUGGAAAUUUGGGGAGAUUAGGGUUAGGCGAGAGAAAUGUGAGGGUUUGGGUAGAAGACGAGAGAGCAUGGUGAUGAAGCAGAGACUUGACAAAUAUUUUGAAAUUUAGGGUUUAACAAGACAAAUACGAUCUUCAUACAACCCUUUACGGUUGGAGAAGGAAGGAGAGGGAGAACAGGAUCCCGUAGGGGGUUUUCAUUCCAUCGGCAUCGCAAGAUAAUGGGGUUUCAGUUUUGAACGGAAGUUUCUAUCCCUGUUUUUUUUUUUAGAAAUUUGAAAAAAUAAUCAAAAUUUUGAACACAAAUAGAAUUAUAACCACUAUUAUAAUUUUCAAUCAUUUUAAUCAAAAAUUGAUAAGAAAGUAAAAAACAAGCUGCUGAAGAUGUUCCCGCAUAUUCGAUUGCUCCAAAGCCUCCUAUCCAUCCCUUCCUCCCGCACUUACCUACCUUGCCAUGAUUUUUUAUUGAUAUAUCAGUUUUCAUUUUCAUAAGUAAUUUUAAUUUUAAUUGCUUGGGUCCUCUGGACCUAAUGCCUCAAGGAAAGAAUGGAGACGAUCGAUGUCGGUUGGGUCUUGUUGAUGCACAAAAUCGGAGGUCUUGGUACAACGUAAAUCUGACUGUGAAUCUGCAUGAAAUGUAAAUAACACAAGAUGUAUCGUGGUUCACCCCAAAGUUUGGGCUACGUCUACACUGAUUGUAUUGUAUUUUUCUGAGAAGUGAGGGAGAGAGCUCUGAGAGUGAGAGCUUUAAGAGGGGGUGAGAAGGGUGAGAAGGCUCCAGAAAUAGCCUCCCCUAAUUGUGAGGGUGAGGGGUCCUUUUAUAGAAUAAGGACUCCUCACUUAUUACAUAUUUGCCCCUUCUUUUAUUACAUAAUUACAUUUAAGUCCCCCGAGUAUUUAUACGAGGUCUAAAUACGGAGGCCCUAAAUAUGGUAUAAACAGUAGUCCCCCAAGUCUUCAGUCAAGAGAGUCUUUUGGCUGGAGACUUGAAAUUCAGUCCAUGUGUGGGCCGAAGUAACUAGAUGUUGUCUUGAACUGAUGCUCGAUAUGAGGCGGUGCUCAAAGUGAAAUGAUGCUCAACUAUAAGUAGCACAUGUUGCGAGGCUACUCGGCUUGUGGCUUAUGUUGCUUUGGUUGGGCUCGGCUUGUGGCGCUUGAAGGUGAGCGGGUCCCUUUUAUAGAAUAAAGGUUCGCUCCUCAAUACAUAAAUGAUGGGUUAGGAGUGAUGCUCGCGGCGAGGCGGUUGCUCAACUGGCGGCGUUGCUCUCUAAUGAAGGUGAUGGAGUCCCUUUUAUAGAAUAAGGGCUCGCUCCUCAAUACAUAAGUGAUGGGUUAAGAGUGAUGCUCACGGCGAGGCGGUUGCUCAGCUGGCGGCGUUGCUCUCUCAUGAAGGUGAGGGAGUCCCUUUUAUAGAAUAAGGGCUCGCUCCUCAAUACAUAAGUGAUGGGUAAGUUUCCCAAGUAUUUUUCAUGAGUGCUCUCUAAUGAAAGUGAGGGAGUCCCUUUUAUAGAAUAAGGGUUCGCUCCUCAGUACAUAGAUAAUGGGCUAAGUCCCCCAAGUAUUUUUCAUAAGGCCCAAUUGAGGCCCAAUAUGUGGUACCUAAUGUAGUCCCUCAAGUCUUCGGUCAAUAAAGUCUAUUGGCUAGAGACUUCAAAUUGAAUCCAUGUACGGGCCAAUGUGGCGGUUGUUCCAAGGUGGUAUUUGUAUACCCUGUACUGAAGCUUUGUAGGUGAAGCUUUGCAAGUAAAACUUUGAAGCUAGAGCUCUGUAAAUGACACUUUUGAAGCUAGAGCUCUGUAAAUGAAGUUUUUGAAGCUGAUUGACAUGAGUGAUGCUCAUGAAUGUUUAUGUUGAUUGACAUGUGUGAUGCUCAUGGAUGUUGUCAUGAGUGAUGCUCAUGAAUGUUAACAUGAGUGAUGCUCAUGAAUGUUGACAUGAAUGAUGGUCAUGAAUGUUUAUGUAUGAUUGUCAUGAGUGAUACUCAUGAAUGUUUAUGUAUGAAUGACAUGAGUAAUGCUCAUAUAUAAUUUGGAGUACUGUGUGUACUUUUGAUCACCUGGUUGGUGGCAUGAAGGAGAGUACGGGUUGUACAUUUCAUCACCUGGUUGGUGGCAUGAAUGGCUAGUUGCCAAAUGAUAUUAGAGUACGGGUUGUACAUUUCAUCACCUGGUUGGUGGUAAUAGCGGCAGGUUGCCGAAUAAUUUUAGAGUACUGGGCGUACUUUUGAUCACCUGGUUGGUGGUAAUAGCGGCGGGUUGCCGAAUAAUUGAGGAGUACUGAGCGUACUUUUGAUAACCUGGUUGGUGCUAUUUCGGGCUUAUGGGCUUUUGCCCUCUACACAACAUUCCAACCCAUUUAUUUUGGGCUUUGCUGUUUUUUUUUUGUUUUUUUUAUUUUUUUUAUUUUUUUUUAUUUUACCCUCUGAUGGGGUUUAUACAUAUUACACUCUGAUGAGGUUUAUACAUAUUACCCUCUGAUGGGGUUUAUACAGAUGUUUCCGAAAGAUAAGGAAAAUAAAUUACAUCAUUCUGGUAGGGUGUUUAUUCCUUGCUUUUGCUUUCUCUUUUUCUUUCGUUUUCUGUUUUUUUUUUUUUUUUUUGCUUUUCCACCACUCUCUCUGUCUCUUCACCUGACAAACAAAAUGAAUCGUAAUCAUAGGAAAAUUUUUGCUUUUCUUCUUUUCUCUUUUCCUUUUCCUUUUCUUGAUCUCCCCGCUCAUUCUCUGUCCACCCAUGUUGCUUUGCAAGGUCAUCUUUUGCUUUUCUUGACAGAUGAUUUCACAUGGCUGUGACUGCUCCUUCCUUGCUCUGGGUCCUCAUUUUACGCUUUAAUGUAUGCUUGGAAGAUUACCUCUCGAUCCUCAUCGUUGGGGUAUCCAUCCAUGAGCUGAUCGUGUACAGUGACAAAACCAAGAGCGAACACAGGAGGGCCCACCGAGUCGGAGAGCUGUCGGAUUCUUCAGCCCUGAUUUCUCGUUCAUCUCCUGUGAUCUUGUAAUAGCCUUGAUGCGUGAGUCGAUCGGCAAGUGUUGUUGGUGUCUUUGUAUUUAGGCCGGGUGAAAAAGACCUACUUCUUCUGCGAACUUCUGGGAUGAAACCGGUCGUACAACCCGACCCGACCACCAUGUACACGACGAAGAACCUCGGGACUAGCAAUAGCACAGGCAACAGCUCAUGUGAUUUUCCGCAAAAGGACAAUCCCAGAACUUUAAUUUCCCACCAUGUCCUUCUCCUCCACCCCUGUGCAGUUCAGUCUCCUCGCUCUCCUCUCCGCCACCACAGUUUACUACUUUUACAAAUCUGCCACCUCCGACGCCUCAAGCUCUCCCUAAACCCUAACUCUAGUUCAUCGCCUCGCAGAGGCAAGCCCUUCUUCGUCUCCCAAACUGGCACCUCUGAAGCUCUAGCUCGUCGCUUGCUCGAUUUUCUGACGUCGAAUGGCGUCGCUUUCGACCUCGUCAACCCCAGCAACUACGAGCCCGAGGACCUGCCAAAGGAAACCCUAGUUCUGAUCGUCGCUUCAACGUGGGAUGACGGGAAGCUGCCUCCGAACGCCAGAUUCUUCUCCAAUUGGCUUGCCGAGAACGCGGAGGACUUCAAGGUGGGAUCGUUGUUGCUCUCUAAUUGCAAAUUCGUCGUCUUCGGCGUCGGGAGUCAAGCCUAUGGCGCUACGUUCAAUGUGGUGGGGAAGGACUUGGCUAGGAGGAUGAGGGCGUUGGGUGCUUCUGAGAUUUUUUCGAUUUGGGAAGGUGACGUGGACGGUGGUGAUUUAGACGAGGUGUUUGAUGCUUGGAGUGGGAAGGUGGUGAGGUUUCUGAAGGGUGGUGCGGCGGAAAAUGGCGGGGUUUUGGGUAAUGGGGUUGGAUCAGCUGAGAAAGCAAGAUAUUUUGGCGAUGGAGAUUUGGUAGGACUGUUGGAACUUGGAACUGUGUAAUUAGAGAGAGAGAGACCGUCUGUUAUACUUACCCAUUUCUGGGUUUCUAGAGAGAGAGAUGGGACUGGGAUUUUGGUUUGGUGUUUUUUUUUGUUUUGGUUCCUGAGUUUUGCAUAUCCACAACUGAGAUGAAAAAUUGAGAGAGAACCGACACAACUUUUCGUAUCGAUUCCCACAGACGGCGCCAAAUGUUGAUGCACAAAACCGGAGAUCUUGGUACAACGUAAAUCUGAAUGUGAAUCUGCAUGAAAUGUAAAUAACACAAGAUGUAUCAUGGUUCACCCCAAAGUUUGGGCUACGUCCACACUGAUUGUAUUGUAUUUCUCUGAGAAGUGAGGGAGAGAAAGCUCUGAGAGUGAGAGCUUUGAGAGGGGGUGAGAGGGGUGAGAAAGCUCCAGAAAUAGCCUCCCUUAAUUGUGAGGGUGAGGGGUCCUUUUAUAGAAUAAGGACUCCUCACUUAUUACAUAUUUGCCCCUUCUUUUAUUACAUAAUUACAUUUAAGUCCCCUGAGUAUUUAUACGAGGUCUAAAUACGGAGGCCCUAAAUAUGGUAUAAACAGGUCUAACUUUAACAACUUUGAUGAAAUCUGAAAUUAAUAAUGUUGACAAGAUUUAAUACCAUCGUCGCACUCAACCUCAACUCCAAACCAUGACGUUCAAAGUGAGAACUACCAAUACACUCCCAACCAUGCCUUUGCAAAUCUACAUUCAAACCCCAGGACACCCAUUUUUCUAUGAUCUGGAGGCAGUCUUAAUACAACCACAACCAUUUAAGGGUAUAAGGCCUCGUUUGUUUGACCUCCUUAGCUAGGACUGGACUAGCUAGGACUAAUAACCCAUGUUUGGUAUAGCAAGGGACUAGGUUAAAUAGGAUUAGCUCGGACUCGUGCCGACUAACUCCUUCGCUCACUGAUCUUAGCUAAACCCCUCGAAAACGACGGGAUUGCUAAUCCCAUCUCCACCACCACGAAUAUCCCGCGAACCCAGUCAUCAAAAUCUAGCCUUUUUGCCAACCUCCAUCAUCCUGCGAACCCAACAAACCCAACCUCAUAUUUGCUUUCCGACGAACCCACAACCUAAAUUUCCCGACGAACAGACAAAAGAACAUUUAACACUUAAUCGAUAUGCAGAAACGGGUUCUCCAUUUUCGUCGAUUGAACUGGAAUUAGACCCAUAAAACAAAGAUAACGGUCUUUGCCUAAAGAACUUUGGAUCCGAAAACGAUCUUCGCAAUUUGAGAUCAUUCUGCCACACUGCAACUCCUAUUCCAAGCGUUUCCUUGGAGGCGAAACGAAAUGAAUACAAGGGGAGAGAGGAGAGAGGGGAGAGGGGACAGUGGUACAUAUGUGAAACAUAAGAAAAAGGAAGGGGGAAGGAGGAGACGGAGGGCGGAGAAAAAAAUGGAAAAUAAUACAGAGGGAGGCAUAUAAAACAGAGAAGAAGAGGAGUAGAAAAAAUGGAAAAUGAUAAAGAAAUAAUAAAAUAUUAAUUGAUAUAGAUUAAAUUUUAAAAAAACUAUUAAUAAAUAUAGAUUAAAUAAUAUAAUAUUAUAGUCCUGCUUCUUAGUCCGACACUGCACCAAACGUUUCACUAAGUUAGUCCAGCUUAGUCUAGUCUAAGCCAGUCCAGUUUAGUCCCUGAAGCUAGUCCAGUCCGAGACAGUCCGAUGCAACAAACGCACCCUAAAGGUAUAUUAGUACUUUCAUAUCAAUUUUUUGUUAUAAUUAUGAUAAACUUAAAAGUGUGGCUAUAAUUCUAUAUUGGAUCAAAAUUUUGAUUAUUUUUCCAAAUAUCCGUUUUUUUUUCUUUCUUUUUUGUUGAAUUUGUGUCUUCCACGUUUGUUCUUUUACAUAUUAACGUUUUUUUCUAAUAAAAUUUUCUAAAAAAAUGAAAUAUAACUUUCUGACAAAAUUACCCUUAGGGUUUUUAUAUGUAUUUUUUCUGUCAGUUUUGAUUUUUUUUUGUUCGGAGGGCUUUUUAGUCCAAAAUUUUUUGAUGAAGCCUUGAGACACCAAACUCUCAUUAUAGCUUGUUAAGCCCUAAAUUUCAAAAAUCUAAAAUACUUCUACCCAAACCCUCACAUUUCUCUUACCUAACCCUAAUCUCCCCAAAGUUCCAUCCCUUCCCCCAACCCCAAAACCCUCUUUUCGCUACUUUCACUCCAAGGUUCUUCUCCAAUGACGAUGGUAAGGGUCCCUCCCAAUCAGAUGUUUGGAGGCUUUCUCAGGAAACCGAUGGAAAGUUUGACCCUUUAUUCGGCGAGAGCUCCGGGGACAUUUCCGGGAUUGCAGAAGUUGAAUCCAGCAAGGGCGAGGCCAAUUCCGACUGGUUGAAGGGGAAAGGAGACAUUGCAGGAGUACAAGAUGUGGAGCUUGGGAGAGGAGGCGAAGAAUGAUUUGUUCGAUAUCAGAGAGGGUGUACAGACUGCCAUUGACAGUGAGACAAGAAAAAUGUAGUUUCUUGCAAUCAUAAUGGGAAGCGAACAACAUAGAGAAGUUGAAUGUGGCAAAGCGGCAAGAUGUUUCUUGCAACUCCAAACAGAUCAAUUAGGAAUUGUAUAUAAUCAGAACAAGUUUUAUUAUUAUUAUUUGGGCCAAAUUUCUUGUCCUGUUUGUUUUCCUUUCGGUUAACUCGAUCAGUUAUGGGCUGAUAAAGACACGACACGUACAUUCUUUUUCUUCGGUAUUAUUAUUAUGGUAUUAGUUUCCCCCAGUGUCUUACUAAGUACACCAUAAGUACACCAUUUUUGAGACAUUAGUAGCUGUAAUAAAAUAAUACCUCACUCAUUUAUACCCCGAAAUAACUCACAACUGCUUAUCUUCAUUUUGAACAUAUAUAUGUAGACACUCACAUCAUUCUCAUUUAUAAAUGCCCCUCACACAAAUGUUACUCUAAUAUCACGUUGAUGUUCGAAUAAAACUUAUAAAAUCAUAUCAUUCUCAUUUAUAUAUGCCCCUCACACAAAUGUUACUCUAAUAUCAACUAUGAUGUUAAUUCGAUUAAAAAUUAUAACUUGUUCUUAUUAAUCUAGGUGAUAUAAAGACUGUUAAUAUCACAAAAAGAAAUUGGCCACCGAGUAUGACGAUGCUUAAUUGCAAUUGUGCUUUAUUUGUUUACCAAUUUAGUAGAAAAUGUUCCCACGGUGUUCCCACGUCGCAGAAAAAACAGAGCAAUUGGGUUUAUCUUUUACUGCUAAAAAUCUGUAUACUCCCAUAAAUUUCAACACUUUAUGUAUUUUAGGCACAACCCAUUUCUCAUACGCCAUUAAAACAAAACCCAGUAGAAUUAAAAAACGUAAACAUAACAGUAAGAAGAGGGCAGAGAGACCUAAAAUAGAAGGAAGAGUGCGAGUAGAAUUCUGGGUUUGUUGACGCUGCUUUGAAGCUCUGCAUUUUUUUUACUGAUUGGGUGGUGAUUCCUUCUGCCUGUAUCACUUUAAAGCAAAGAAAAGGUUAAAAAAGACGAUCUUCAUACAACCUUUUACAGUUGGAGAAGGAAGGAGAGAGAGAACAGGAUCCCGUAGGGAGUUUUCAUUCUAUCGGCAUCGCAAGAUAAUGGGGUUUCAGUUUUGCACGGAAGUUUCUAUCCCUUUUUUUUUUCUUUUUUUUUCUUCUCUUUCUCUAAAAACUGAUUUGCGUCCAACCUGGUUGAAUUUGUGUCUUCCAUGUUUGUUAUUUUACAUUUUAUCUCAUUUUUUUCUAAUUUUUUUCUAAUAAAAUUUUCUAAAAAAAUGAAAUAUAAGUUUCUGACAAAAUUACCCUUAGGGUUUUUAUAUGUAUUUUUUCUGUCAGUUUUGAUUUUUUUUGUUUGGAGGGCUUUUUAGUUCAAAAAUUUUUGGUGAAGCUUUGAGACACUAAACUCUCUUUCUGACUUUCUAAUAUUAAAGAUAAAGAUUAUUAUUUUUUGUCUUGUGGAUAUGUUGAUUUUGAUUUUAAUGCAAGAAGUGAUUUCCGUACAUUAUUUUAUUUUGAUUUUUCAAUCCCAAAAACAGAAAUAGACAUGAGUGUAUAGCAGGAGAAAAUGGUGUGAAAGUAACUUUCCUUUUAUUACUAAAUCCAUCGACUGAAAUUAACUCAGCUAAAUUAUUUCCCCUAAUUACCAACUUUACCAUUCUACAACUAGUAAAUUGCCCUAUUGGAUAAGACUAUCAUCUUCAACUUACUACGUCUCAUAUUCAAACAUGCCCCUUCUUUUUAAUCUAACUUAGAGUAGUAAUAUCAAUUGUAAAAAAAGAAGGAUUAACUCUGCACUUGAGGUCUUGUGUUUGAGCUAGUUCUUUUGAACUAAUCUCUAAUAUUAGAAAAUCAUCAGUCAAUUUUUGUGUCUUAAGCUUCACCAAAAAUUUUAGAACAAAAACACCCAUAAAACAGAAAAAUCCAAAACUAAUCCAAAUUAACACAUCAAACACAACAUGGGUAAUUUUGUAAGAAAAGCAUAACAAAUAAAAGAUAAUAAAAAAAGGAAAAAAAGAAAAUGAAACGUGCAAAACUCUGAUGUCGUGGGACUCAAGAGAAAACCACGAACUGACGGACAAGAAAACUGCCAUGAACCACAACUCCAUGUUGAGCACUGAAGAUUAUGAGGAGGGAAAUCUUUCUUUGCUGUUCCUUCUACUUCGAGUGGUUUGGAAGAAAAAAACAGUUCAUCAAUUUCCUUUUUGUUUUCACUUUCUUCCGUUUUCUAAAGGUUCAUCGGGCCCUCGAUCACUCAUUACGACUAGAUCUGGACGACAUGUGGAGACGAGUGCAGGAUGUUUUCAGUUUACUAUCUACAAUUAGACUUAGUGAGAUUACUCUCUGUGGUUCAUCUUCUACUGAUCUUUAUGUCAGAAAACAAUGCCUUCAAACAUUCGGACUUUUGGUACAAGAAGUUAUUUUCAAAGAUGAAUUUGAUAACUCUCCCAAGCACUGGAGAGUUGAUUGGGAUUUCCCUCUUUUCAAUAUCUAAUUGGGGAUUUUUUGGUAAUCAAAUUUUCAGAGCUUCAUUCUUUCUUGUAUCUAGUUGGGUUUCUUUACCUUUUGUUUUAAUAACUUUUCCGAUCUCUAUUCUUUACAUGGACGUUUUUUCUUUCAACAACUCCUCUGCAAAUUGUUGACUUCCUGAAUGACUUCCAUUAUUGCUUUAUAGGUACUCUUUGUUUCUUUGCAAAUAUACGUAUAUCAUUUCAAACUUUGCAAAUUUUGUGAUGAUACUAUUCGGUAGCUUCUUAAAAUUUUUCUUUUUGUUCUCUAUUUUUCUUUCCCCAAAAGGUGGUUCAAUUACAUAAGUUGUGCAUAUAACUGUCAAUGUGGCUUUUGGAAAGAAAAACACUACAUUUUUAGCAUAUAUAGAACAAAGGGUUAGUUCUGUCAGUUUCUCCAAAACAUAUGUUGAGGGAAAAUGUGACGACCCAUCCUAAUUUUCUUAUGUAAUUUAUCCCCUAGUAUGUGUUGACGGUUAUGCCCUUAGUGGCAAGUGACGUGGACACAUUUAUUUCCCUUAAAUUAUUUAUUUCCUCAUAUCACAUUUAAAUUGUACACACUAGUACGAGUCGGCGUAAAUUUUAAAGUGUAAAAAUAUCUACUUCGGACUUAUUUCGAUCUCUUUUUACUGUAGGAAAUCUGAAAUCCUAUCCUUUGGAUUCCUUUUUAUCCUACCCGUGCACCCCCCAUUAUUCACUCACCCAUCACUCCCUCACCAAUCACAUCUCUUCCCACUUCCCUACACCCAAUCAGAAAAAAUAAAAAAAAAUAAAAUAAAGCAUUCUCUCUCUCUCUCUCUCUCUCUCUCUCUCUCUCUCUCUCUCUCUCUCUCUCUCUCUCUCUCUCUCUCUCUCCCCCUUAUACUCGAUCCUCUAUGUAAAGCCAUGAACGAGCUUCAAAGCUCGUAGAUCAAAUUCACAACGUACACCAUUGUAUUCAUCUCAGUCCCAUGAUCACAACCAUGUCCUUGAAAUCUGAUUUAGAUGAGUUUUGACUCACCAACUCGGAAGGUCCGACUCGGUAAGUCUCGGUUCUACGAUUUUCAUGCCAUUCAUAGCUUAGGUAAGCCUUGAGAAACCCUUAGAACCUUCAUUUCAAUUCUAUGGGUUGAUAUUGAUCUCUUGUUUGUGUUUUGAACGUAUGGUUUUACACAGAAAACUCGAGAAGAGAAAAUUGUACGUUUUUCAGUCAUGGACCGUGACAAUUUGGUCACUUUCAACCCAUUUUUCCAGUCACCCUCAACUUUAGCUGGACUUCUAUUAGGUACAAACUUGUUCUCUACAUUCCUAACUUCAAAAUGGCGUUUGAAUCAUUGAGUUUGGUUAAGUAACGAGUUAGAAAUCAACUCUGGAAGUUAGGAAGAAAUUCCAGUUUUCUAGAAAUCUGCAACCAUGGUCAUUUGGCCAUUUUCAGGCCAAAUUCUUGAACAACACGGACCGUAUUUGAACUUUUUGUGAAAUGGGAUCAAUACACCACAUUCCUAGCUUUAAUUUGGUUGUUGUAGAAGUGUUUUUGGUUGAGAAUCGAGCUCGUUAGGAUCUCUAAAGGUUGGCCAAAAAAUCUGCAAAACUGCAGAAAUUCGCGAGGAAGGCGAGUAUGCCUGUACUCGCAAGCGCGUGACCAGUUUGUGCAGCCCCUUAUGGCUAGGGGUGGAUUUUUUUACCAAAUUGCCGUGCCAACCGAAUUACCAACCGUGCCAUACCGAUUUUGUGCCAAAUUUUUUGUGCCAAUCGGUAAUGGUACGGUAUUGUACCGUACCGAAAUUUCUUGGUACGGUAUUGGUAAUGGAUAUCAUUACCACGGUAUUACCGUACCGAACAUAUAAUAUAAUAUAUAAUUUAUAAAUUAUAUAAUAUAUAAUUAUAUAACACAUAUUUAUAAUAUUCUAAUAAUUUGAUAUGAUGAAAGAGGCUCAACCUCGGUUCAAGAUUCCAAAUAGGAAGAAGAUUGCGGCCAAUGUAUGGGAUUUAUAUGUGUUAGAGAAGUCUAAGUUAUUUGAAGCAAUGCAUAAUCAAAAGGUAAGUAUCACAACCGAUACUUGGACAUCGGUACAAACAUUAACUACAUGGUAGUUACCGCUCACUUCAUGGAUAGUGAAUGAAAGUUGCACAAACGGAUCAUAAACUUCAUAAAGAUCACGGGUCAUAAGGGACAAGACAUUGGGAAAGUUCUAGAGGUGUGUUUGAACCAAUGGAGGAUAUAGAAGAUCUUUAGCAUGGGGGAAACUUCUAUUUGUUUUGGUUCGUAACUUCUAUUUGGAUUGUAAGCUUAAUUUUCAUCAUGAAUCUUGAUGCAUCUUUUGAAUUAUUGUGUGUGUGAAUUGUAAAUGAUGAAUAAUAGAUGAAUUUAGGCUACAAUGUAUGAGAUAAAGGUACAAUAAAAAAGUUUUGCCCUUGAAUUGGGUUAAAAAAGCAAAAAACAAAUUUUGUCCCAAAACAAAGUGGCAAUUACCAUUGCCAUACAAUGCCAACCAAAUAUUUGGCAAUACCGAACUUCGGUAUACCGAAAGUUUGGUAUGGUAAUGGUAAUAGAUUUUACCAAACCGAAAGUUUGGUACGGUAAUUGGUACGAGGGUUUUGGUACGGUAACCGUACCGAACCCACCCCUAGUUAUGGCAGCACGUCCUGCCUCCUGUUGGCGUGUGGUUGACAUGUGUGUGUCCGUGACGUCGAGUAGAUCGAUUUCAUAUAUUUAAACCCUAGGUUUGAGCAAACUAUGGGGUUUUUUAUUUAGGUUUCCGUUAUGUGCUUUAAUUAAUUUUAUUUUAGUUAUUUCACAUAUAGGGGAAACGUAUUACGAGGAUGUUCGAGGUCAAGCUAGGCUCGGGGGUUACGACCCAGCGACGUACUUGUGAGUGGGCAGUUUAUUUUUAUAUCUAUACGUAUUUAUAGUUUCCAAAAUUUCAUAAAUGCAUCACUUUGCGUAUAUAUUGCCAAAUAAUUGACAACUGUGAUAUAAUUGUGAUAAAUGUUGUUAUAUGGUUGAGAUAUUACUGUCAUGGCAUUCAUACAUAAUUGUACAUACUCAUCUUGCUGCACCCCGGUGUUAGUACUCGCCCCAGGGCUAGGGCCAGUCCUUAACAUGUAUGUUCACAUCGCACCGUUCGCUCGCCUUGGAUCCAAGUUAGGUGUCAAUCAUGUCGAGUAGAUUGCAUUAGGCAAUCCGACUUGUAUGUGACUGUGCUUUUGCACCAGCCUUCACGUGAUCGUAAUACUAGAGCAUAUUGAUUACACCCAGUCCUGUUCGUGUCAGAAAUUAUCUAUUUGAACUUGUGUGUGUCAGCUUAGAUGAAUGAGCACUUAGCUAUACUUGAUUAUCACUUGAUUAUAUUAUUGUGACAUUUUAUACGUCAUAACUUGGCAUAUAUUUGGUUAUAACUCUGUUAUAGUAUUGUUGAUUUAUCGUUUACAUACCUAUGUAGUAUGUUUUAAGGAAACUAUACUUGUUUUACGGCGAGGGGUUAAUAUAUUCAAAGAUAAAGCUUUUCUUAUAAGCAUUGUUUUGCUGACCCACUCAACUUUGUUUUUUGCCCCUCCAGGACCUAGAUAGUUGUACUCUUUGUGGCACUCGAGGAAUCUUGGCAGUUCUGACAUUUAUUUCUGUUUAGACGUACGAAUUUAUCACUGUUAUGUAAUAAGUGUACUUUAAUUAUUUUGAUUACUCUUCUGUAGUCUCACUGUCUAUUACACUUUGAAUAAUUGUAGUGGGUUCACCCCACGAUUGCACUUUUUCACUGUUUAGUUCUAAUUAAUUUUAAUUUUAUUCACUUUUUGUAUCGCUUAUUCUUAUGGUUACGUCACCUCAUGGUGAUGGCUAGCAUGCUUCGACCUUUCCAAGCCGGGGUGUGUCAGAAAAUGUAUAAUUCGCAUUUGACACGAAUUUCAUUAUUAAGAUCACUUUCAUCUGUUAAUUUAACUGUUAUAUUAAUUUUUUCUCAUGUUAUCUUUCACAAAAUAUGGAUAAAAACAUGUACGAAAUGUUUUUUGUAGUACAUAUGUCUUUAUGCAUGCACAAAUGUAGAAGAGCUAAAAGAAUCUUUGUAUGUCGUGCGUAACGCGCUAUGAUGUAAAAAAAAGCCUUUCAAAUGCGCAAAGUGUGUGCAGAAAGGCUAGUAUAUUAUUAAGGCUUUAUUUAUAUAUUCUUUUAUAGAGAACUAAUCUCUUAGCUAAGGUUAGGAGAAAAGCCUAUGUAAAUUCAUUAGUUUGAUUUGAUUUGUGCGUUCAACAUUAAAUUCUUAUUAAUGGUUUGUUCAAUUCAAUUUUUACGAGAAAAUGGUGUGUGAAAAUAACUUUCCUUUUAUUACUACAUCUAAAUUUCUAAUGGCUGAAAUUGACUGAGGAAAUUUUUUUUUCCUUAAAUACCAACUUUGCCAUUCUACAACUGGUGAACCACCCUAUUGGAUAACACUUUUGUCCUCAACUCAUUGCGUCUCAUGUUCAAACAUUCUUCUUCUUCCUAAAUAUAACUUAGAGUAGUAAUACUGUUUGUAAAAAAAAAAAAAAAUAUAUAUAUAUAUAUAUAUAUAUAUAUUAUCCUUUUAAAAUUUAAAAAUCAAAUAUAUAGCAUUCCGUCUAUAUGAAUAAAAAACAUUGGUAAGAUAUAUGGUAAAAAGAAGGAUUAACCAUGCACUUGAUGUCUUGUGUUCGAGCUCCUUCUUUCAAACUCAUUAAUUAUUAAGGUUUUAUUUAUGGAUCAUUUUGGUUCCAAUCCCUAAUCAACCUAAUUGUUAGACUGAAAUCUUGUUUGUUUAAAUAUUUUGAUCGAGAUUCUUAGCAUCAUUUAAGAGAUCUAACUCAUGGAUUUAUGCAUUUAAUGUUCCACAAAUUAUGAAAUUUAAAAAAAUCAAAUAAUAUUUUAAAAAUAUAAUAAAUACUUAAAAAUCAAUUUUAGAGAAACAUUGUUCUUCACAAAAAUUAUAGCAAAAAUAAUAAUGUACCCACAUAAUUAUUAAAAUAUUUUAAAAAAUAACUAUUGAUAUAUUUUAAAAUAUAACAUAAAUACAUAUAAUUAGCAUGGUUACAUUUAGCAAAAUAAAAAAUGGGUACAAAUAAAUUAAAAAUAUGGGUACAAAUACAAAUCAAAGUUAUAAAAAAUAUAGGCACACAAAAGAUUUAAUAUAUCGAUUCUAUUGUAGGCCUAUUUGACCGAACUAUAUUUAGGACUAGAGAGGGAGAGAGGCCGACGACAAGAGAGAGAAGAGAGAGAUUUAAUUGUGAUGUGUGUGUUGUAUAACCCCAUUGUGCAUUUAUUUAUAGUAGUGGGAUAUGUUAAAUCCUUACCUUUUUAGACAACUCUAAUAGGAUAUUAACUACUAAAGAGAAUAUUCAAAGAUAUCCCUAGAUACACUAGGAUUUACACAAUCACAUUCCUACUCUAAAUAUGACUGCAACAUUCCCCCUCGAGUGUGUAAAUACUCAAACAAAACAUCGCAUCAUAUCUUCAGCAGAUAAGGUAGAACAGUUGAUGAAGUCGGUGGCACAAUGGGCGAAUGCGAGUCUCAAAUUUAAAGAAAGUAUGCACUGGUAGUAAAACUCACAAAACCUCGCUAUGAUAAAACCUAAGGUAGGUGAAAACCCAUGGAUUAAGGAGAAAAGUGAGAAGUAUGCAUAAUGUCAAAAACAAACAUCAAACAUGAUGAAAGUAGUGAACUCAACGGAGUAUGAUCAUCCCAGGAUGGGCGCCUCAUAAAAAAGAGUACAUUAAGAUCAAGUCGUAUGCUUUAAGAUACUUCCCCUGAAAUAAUUUACGCAUACCGAUUCCUUGGACGAGCUUCUAAAAAGUAGACUUGGGCAAUGACUUGGUAAAAAGAUCAACCAGGUUGUCCUGGGAACAUAUUUGCUUAACUUCAAUGCUCUGAUGCUGUUGUUGCUAGUGAGAAUAAAAGAAUUUUGGCGCUAUGUGCCUGGUGUUGUUUCCCUUGAUGUAUUCUUUCUUUAAUUGCUUGAUAUAUGUUGCAUUUUCUUCAAAGAUCUUCGUAGGAAGGUCAAAGACAGCAGUAAGACCACUAGUGCUUUAAAUAUGUUCCAUGAAUGCUCUCAACCAAAAGCAUUCACACGAUGUUUCAUGCAGGGCAAAGAUUUCAGCAUAGUUCGAAGAAGUCGCAACUAGCGUUUGCUUAGUAGACCUCCAAGAUAUAGCGGUGUCUUCAACGAUAAAAACAUAACCCGUUUGAGAACAUGCCUUAAGUGGGUCAGACAGAUAUCCAGCAUCUGCAUAACCAAUAACCCGGGAAUCAACUUAAGAAUCGAAGGGGACGGCGGCUCCCCUCGAGGAUUCGUGGGUGUAGAACAAGCCCAAAUCUGGCGUACCCUUGAGGUAUCAGAAAAUGUCUUUAACACCAUUCCAGUGUCUUCGUGUGGGCGAAUUGCUAUAUCUAGCCAAAAGUUUAACAGCGAAAGAGAUAUCAGGUCUAGUGCAUUAAGCCAAGUACAAUAAAGCACCAAUUGCACUUAGGUAUGGAACUUCAGGCUCCAAAAUCUCUUCCUCAUCCUCCUUAGGAUGGAAGGGAUCUCAUUUAGCAUUUAGAGUCUGAACGACCAUAAGAGUACUCGAAGGCUUCGUUUUAUCCCCAUUAAAACAUCGCAACACCUUUUGGGUGUAGUUCGAUUGAUGUACUAGGAUUCCAUCUAAACAAUGCUCGAUCUCCAGGCUGAGACAAUAUCGAGUUUUCCUAAGAUCUUUCAUCUCAAAUUUCGAUUUCAAGUGAACAUCAUUUUCUCAAGCUUUACAAAAGAUCCGAUGAGGUUCAUGUCGUCAACAUAAACUACAAUGAUCGCAAAUUCAGAAUGUGACUUCUUUAUAAACACGCAUGGGCAUAAUUCGUUGUUCACAUUACCCUAACUUGUCAAAUAUUCACUCAGACGGUUAUUCCACAUCCGCCCCGAUUGUUUCAAUCCGUAGAGUGAUCACCUUAAUCAAAUAAAGAGAGUGUUCCGUGAUCUAGAACUAUUUAAACCAGUCAAUGGAAGUCAUUUUGGAACUUUCAUGUAGAUUUUCAUAUCUAGAUCCUCAUAAAGAAACACGGUUACCAUGUCCAUAAGCUGCAUAUUCAGUUUUUCAGAAACUACCAAACUAAUAAGGUAGUAGAACUUAUGACGUCCAUUAUAGAGGAAUACGUCUCCUUGUAAUCAAUCACAGGGCGUUGAGAAAAGCCUUAUACUUUCUAUUUCUAGCCCUCUGAAAUUAACAGAUUUAAGGGAGGGACACUACGAGGCGUGCUUUGUAUCGCACUAUUUCAUUUUUUUCAUUAAGCUUCCUCACAAAAACCCAUUUGUAGCCCACAGGCUUCACAUGUGGUAGGGUAGAAGCUAUAGGUCUAAACACCUUAUGUUUCACAAGCAAAUCGAGUUCGACCUGGAUUGCUUGUUUCCAGUUUGACCAAUUCGUUCUACGUCGGCAUUCAUUAACAGAACGUGGUUCAAUGUCAUCGCUAAGCAUGAUGUCAGUAGUUACUGUGUACUCAAAUGCAUCAUCAACAAUCAUCUCAUUCUGAUUCUAAACCUCAUCCAAUAUUGCAUAGUGGACCGAAAUCUCAAGAUUCUCAGGAGGUCGGGCUGUUUUAUCUAAAACAUCACCGUAAUCUAGAAUAACCUCAUGUGUUGGAACAGAUGAGCGAGCGAUGGUCAGAUUCAAACUAGGGUCACUAGUUUAUGCCGUUUUCCUCUUCUGGGGUUGUGAAUCCUUUGAACCAGGGGGUCUGCCAUGCUUUAGGGUAGGAGCGGAUGAUUGGCUAGCCGCCAAUGUACUGGGCCACGUAGAAGUCACGUAAAGGUGCAGCCUCCCCACUUUCGGGGACGGUUCGGUCUUCCCAGGUAGUAUUACAACAUACUUGAGGUUCGUAUAUCCUUUUGUAGUGGGUAUAUGUGAUCUUGUCACCUUUGCUAGAUUAGUAAAAACAUCAUCAAUGAUCAUCUUAUUCUGAUUCCAAACCUCAUCCAAUACUGCACAAUGGACCGAAAUCUCACGAUUCUCGAGGGGUUGGGUUAUCUCAUCUAAGACAUCACUGUAAUCUAGAAUAACCUCAUGUGUUGGAACAUAUGAGUGAGCAAUGGUCGGAUUAUCUUCCCCGGAAGUGGCUUUUGAAGCCUUGGAAAUCGGUAAGGCUUUGGAAAUAGAUAAUAAUAUAUAAUAUAUUUGUUUAAUAAUUGUGGAAAUCCAUCUGACAGAGGGGAGUCAUUAUUAUCUUCCCCGAGAGUGGUUGAAGCCUUGGAAAUCGACAAGCCUUUAUUUCGGGGUUUCUCAUUUCCUCUCUCUUCCAUUCUUCUUCGAUUGCUCCGCCUGAUUCCCCAUAUUCUCUGCCUAAUUUCCAUCUUCUUGCUCUGUAUAAUUUUCCAAAAUUUAAUCAUGAGUCUUGUUAAAUUCCUCAAGCACAACGAAGAAAUCCUCUACGGCGAAGAAAUUUGAAGCUUCCAGGUCAAAGUUCUCGUUUUUUCUUUCUUUCUACAAUUGCACUAUUAUUCUAAUUCCUUAUAUAGAUAUAUCUCACGCUUAUUCUUCCCUCACGCUCUCUUGGUUGCUCUUUUCAAAUUUUAUGUCGUCACCCUCGCGAUGUAGUGAAAUGGUGAAAGUAUAAUAUUUUAACAGAACCAUCGCGGAGGCCGCUUAGCCCGGCACCUAGGUUGCCUAGCAUGCCUAGUCAGCAACCUAGCACGCUUAGUCAGCAGCCUGGCAACGCCUAGUCGGAUCCCUAGCACCGCCUAAUACCCUUGCCGAUUUACUGAACGUUUUUGAAAUAAUCACGGUGGCGGCCUGACGCCCAGUGCCUAAGCAGCCGCCCAUACCGCAUUUUAGAAAACUGGCUGGUCGACACCUGGAAGGUGGCGAAGCCAUAAAGUGUAGUGAUGUGAAAAAUGUGAAUAAAUUUAAACCUACAAGUACCUAAAUAUAAGAGUGCACUAGUCAGCAAGAACCCAUUUUACAAGUGAUGACAGAGUAUACGUAAGAUACAGUAGGUAGGAUAAAGAUUAUACCCUCAAAGGUAGCCACCCAUACUGAGAUUUGCCAAGAAUCCUCGUCGAUACAAAAGUUCAGCAGCUAAGACCUGGAGGGGCAAAAAACAAGGGGUGAGUGGGCCUGAAAAUAGAGUUUUAUAAAAACCUUUCUAAAAACAUUGUAACCGUAGCCUGCAAAAUCUCAAAAAUAUACUUACUACGUAUAGUAUAAAAAUACUUACCGUAGCCUGCAAAAUCUCAAAAAUUCAUUACGGCACAAUAUCUUGUAACUAAGGGCAGGAUAUCCAAAAUCACAAAAUCCUAACAGUAAUAUAAGUAAAAUCAGGUGCUCAAACAAUUUAUGCUAGCACACAAGUCGGAGUUGCCUAAUGCGACCUGCACGACUGAACUAAUGUUCAUCAAUCUAUGCUAGCACAAGAGUCGGAGUUGCCUAAUGUGACCUGUACGACAGAACUAGGUGUAAUCAUAAUAUACGCUUUAGUGCUACAAUCACAUGAAGACUGGCGCUAUUUGCGGUCACCUACGAGUCGGAGUUGCCUAAUGCAACUUGUACGACAGGACUGGCACCUACUUGGAUCCAAGGCGAGUGUGCGGUACGGAGGUGAACAUACACGUGAAAGACUGGCCCUGGCCUUGGGCGAACACUAACACCGGUGUGCAACAAUGAUGAGCAGACUACAUAAAUAUAAGCAUGCCAUAACAAUUCAAUAAUUUUAGUCAACAUAAUAAACUUACAUGCAUAUCCCAUAGGAUUUAGCAUAUCUCAUAAAUUCCGUCAUUUUCACUAAUUCUUAUAAACUUUAGUCUAAUCCAAGUGUAUGUAAGAAAUUCUUGUUUAAAUGCAUAAAUGAAAACUAUCAAUCAUACAUAUAUACUAUAAAAAGGAAAAGACCCACUCAUAGAUCACGUUGUUGAGUCGAACCUACCUCGUAUCAUCGAGAGUCCUUGUGAAGCGUUUCGCCUAAAAACAAAACCAUUUAGGUAAAUAUAACGUAUUAAUGUAAUUACGCGUUUUCGUACAAAGUAUGGCUAAUAAAGGAACUAUCUUAAAAUGGUCGAAUUUCGAAAAAUGGAUGGCGGAUUUGGAAUCAACGAGUUGAAAUACGGUAAGGAGGGUCCCUGGUAAAUUUUGUAAAAAGUCAACGGGAAGGUCGACGGUCAACCCUAAAAAAGGUCAACCGAGGCGUCUCGAUGGUCAACUAUGUUAAAACUUUAAAAUUUCACUAAAUGGAUGUCAAAAACAGACUCGGUGCGUCGAAAUUAGCCUAGGAGGGUUCCCGAGAAAAUUUCAAAAAAUCAACAUAAGGAAUAUUCUUAGAAUAUUCUCAGCCCAUUUAGAAAAUUAGGCUAGGUUAGGAACAUUGGCCCAAGGUUUGGGCUGUUUGGGCUAAGGAUUUGGGCCAACAACUUUGGACCAGUUUUGGGCCUAAGGCCCCUUUUUUUUUUCUUCUUCUUCUUCUUCUCCGACGGGUCGUCGGAUUAUGGGAAAAGUUAGCCGGGAAAAUUCCAAUUGCUCUAACUAAUUCAUCUCUCAACCAAAAUCCAAAAUUCAAAAGUCAAAAUAAAGCUUAGGAGUUAAGGAAUUGAAAUGUACCAAUCCGAGGUUGAGUCGUGACAGGAAAUGGUCCGAAAUGAAUUGCAAUGCCGGAGCUUCGCUGAAAAAUUUGGGGAAGUUUUCCCGACAUGAUUCCUACAUCUAAACACCCAUAAACCGUCUCAAAACAUCCCAAACGUAGUCCUAGUCAUGAUCUACAAAUUUAUAAGAAUGUUUUAGGCCUUACCUUCGUCGGAGACGGCGAGAACUCGCCGGACUCAAUUUUUGCAUAAUGACUGUAUUAUGCGGUGAGGAAGAGUGAGAGAACGAGGGUUUCGAUCUGGGUUAAGUUCGUGGUGGGGAUGCUUAUCGAGUGAUGUUCGCUAGAAAUGACGAGUGGUGGUGGUUUGUUCAAGGUGGUCGCACCCUCUCGGUGCUUGCCGAGGAAGAAGGAAGAGAGAGAGGUGAAAGACAGAUGCGGGAAAGAUAGAGUGAAGAGAGAGAGAGGGUCCCUGAGAUGAGGGAAAUAGGCCACGUGGUGAGAGAUGAGAUGAGAGUUAAGUGAGGCAUAGACCCCACGGGCCAAAAUAAAUUAUACAAUAUUCAAAAUAUCUCCUCAGAAAGUAUUAAAAUAUUAAAAUACCCAAAAAUUCAAAUUUCACAAAACACCUCGAGUUUCGUAGUUCCGUAAAAUAGUAGCUUAUACACGUCACAAAAAGGCGGUCAAUGAAAGUCGACGAUUUCACCUCUAGGCACAUUUUGUCAAUUCACUCUUUUAGAAUUUAUAAAAUCGUAUAAUUAGGGACGGGUUGUCACAAUCUACCCACCUUAAAAAAAAAAAAUUCAUCCCUGAAAUUUGAAAUCAUUUGUUAUUCAAAAAUAGUGAAAAGACAGCAAGAAAAUAAAUAUGUAAAGAAGAUAUCAAGUUACGGUUGCAUAAAAGAGAAUGUCAUUCAACCGUGAUCGAAGUGCAGUGAUUCCUCUUUCAUGCCUCCAAACUCAUACUUUCUUUCUCCUUCAGUACAAUACUAUAAUAUAAUACUUAUUACAUAAACAAUAUGUCUAAAGUAUUUAUAUAUGUAUAAAAACAUCCCGUCAAAAUACAUAUAUAAUAAUGUAAAGUUAAAGUAAUUCUAUUGAAAUUAAAACUGAACAUAGAGUAUUUUUCACCUACGCACUUGAUGCGUUACGUACUCGGAAGGUAAGGAGUGUGUCAUAAUUCAUCAAUUUGAUUCUUGAGAUUUGAAAUUGCUAAAAAUGAUCCUUAAAUAAGGAGUAAAUGAUAAAAAUAACCUCAAUUCAAUAAACAAUGAUCCAUAAUAAUUUGACAAAAAUUGAAGAUAAUUUUGUUUUUCUUACUAAAUGAUCAAAAUAAUUGAUGGUGAAUAAAAUCAGAAAUCUCACUUUGAAGAAACGAAACUUCCGACUUGGUGGGCUGCGACUUUUGACUGAUUGAGAGUCCUCUAUCCACAGCUCCUCUAUCUUCCUCCUAAACCUUUUACCUUUCUUUUUUUCUUCUCCAAAGCUAGCAAGCUGAGAUUUCAACCUCUCCCUCUAAGAGGCAGCGACAUGCUUUUCCAAAUGCAGUCUGCAAUUUAAUCAAACAGCCAUCGAAUUUUCUGGAAUCCGGUCAACGCAGAGAUGCUUCGGAUUUUGACCGGUCAACGCUAGCUGCUUACCUGAGCUCCAACAGACCCAACAGUGAUAACGUCCUCCACCUCUGUUUCUGUUUGGAUGAUUAUGCUGUUUGGCUUCUUUCACCUCCGCAAGCUUGCUGCCAAUGUCGAAGGUAUGUCUCUGUGUGUUAUUGAAUUUGGGAGUGUUUGGUUGUGGGAACUGGAAUGAACUAAUGAAUGAAUGAACGACUGGAAACAUUCCCGAAGAGGUUGGAUCUUUACUUGGCAACCUUGCAAAACUGCGUUUCCUGUAUGAACCCCCAUCCUUUUGUUAGAGAAUAUCUGUCAUCUUUCUUUUUCAUUCGAUAUGCUAAUCUCCAGAGUCCAUUUUUAACAUCAAUUUAGGAAAAUUCUGAAGUUUUAACAUAGUUGACCAUCGUGGCGUUUUUGUUGACUUUUAGGGUUGACCGUUCAAUUUUCGUUGACUUUUUACAAAAUUUGCCCGGGAUCCCUCUUAGCGUAUUUUGAUGCUCUGAUUCCAAAUCUGCACUUCGUUUUCUCAAAUUUGAUCGUUUAAGUUGAGUUUUACUAAUGGGUCCCAAUAUUAUACUUGGGCGCGAUUAGUAUCAGAGAUUUCAACUUUCUUAGCUCAAAAGGAUGUGACAUCGUAAGUACCUGUGAGUGGGUCUUUUCUUAUAUAUAUAUAUAUAUAUGUUAGUUUCCAUUUAUAUAUUUGGUAAAGAAUUUUCUACGUUACACCUAGAUUAGGGUAACGUAUAUAAAAAUUAACGUAUUUACGGAAUUCAUGCAAUUAUACUACAUCUUACAGGAUACACAUGUAUGCGUAUUAGUAUGGAUGCUUUAAUGAUAUUUACGGUUAUGAAUAAUAUUUUGACUAGGGUUAUUGAAUUAUCAAAUUAUCAAUUUACCAUUGCAUGAUCAUAUUUGUGUUAUCUGCUUAUUGUGUGCUGCACUGGUGUUAGUACUUGCCUGAGCGAGGGCUAAUCUUUCAGGUGUAUGUUCAUAUCGCAUCAUAUGCUCACUUUGGAUCCAUUGUAGGUGCCAGUCAUGUCCUAGAUUGCGAUAGGCAAUUAGGACUCGUAUGUGACGCACUUAGCGCCCGUUCACGUGAUUGUAGUACUAGAGCGUGAAUCAUUAUUACAUCUAAUUCUGUUCAUGUCAGAAUACCUCUGCAUGAACUCAUGUGUCAACAUAUGCCAAUAUGGACUCGAUGUGAUAUGUUUAUUUUUGCGAGAUACUGUGAUUACUAGAAAUUAUGUACCUAUUUACAAAUUUUGUGACGUAUUGAAUUCUUGAGAUUUUGCAGGCUACGGUAAGUAUUUUCAUACUAUAUUUUGGAAAUAACCUCAAUUCAAUAAACAAUAGGUCAUAAUAAUUUAACAAAAAUUAAAAAUAAUUUUGUUUUUUGACAAAAUGAUCAAAAUAAUUGAUGAUGAAUAAAAUCAGAAAUCUCAUAACAAAGUUAAGAAUUGCAUAACAAUUUCAAGAAUCAGCUAAAAAGUCAAAAAUAAAUAUAAACAAAUGAAGAAACGAAACUUCCGAUGCGGCGGGCUACAGCUUUGCCUGAUUUUGCUGUUUAUUUUAACGAAAAAUCAUAUUUUUACACUAAAAAGUCAAUCAUGAUACUUUUCACUUUACUCUUUAUUUUAUCAUUAUCGUUAAAACUCAAAAUUUUCAAAUCAUUUUAAUUAGUUUUUCUUUAAAAUAAUUUAUAGUGGAUAAAACCAGAAAUCUCAUUUUGAGUGAGGAGUUGCAUAACAAUUUCAGGAAUCCACUAAAAAGUAAAAAAUAAAUAUAAACAAAAGAAGAAACGAAACUUGCGACGUGGUGGGCUGCGACUUAAGACUGAUUGAGAGUCCUCUAUCCGCAGCUCCUCCGUCUUCCCCCCGAACCUUUUACCUUUCUUUCUUUCUUCUCCAAGACUAGCAAGCUGAGAUUUCAACCCGUCUCUCUAAGAAGCAGCGGCAUGCUUUUCCAAACGCAAUCUGCAAUUUAAUCAAACAGCCACCGAAUUUUCUGGAAUCCGGUCAACGCAGCGAUGCUCCGGAUUUUGAUCGGUCAACGCCAGCUGCUUACCUGAGCUCCAAAAGACCCAACAGUGAUGACGUCCUCCACCUCUGUUUCUGUUUGGCUGAUUCUGCUGUUUGGCUUCUUUCACCUCCACAAGCUUGCUGCCAAUGUCGAAGGUAAUGCUCUGUGUGUUAUUGAAUUUGGGAGUGUUUGGUUGUGGGAACUGGAAUGAACUAAUGAAUGAAUGAAUGACUGGAAACAUUCCCGAAGAGCUUGGGGGUUUGUCGGACUUGGUGAGCUGGAUCAUUACUUGGCAACCUUGCAAAACUGCGUUUCCUGUAUGAACCCCCAUCCUUUUGUUAGAUAAAAUCUGUCGUCUUUCUUUUUCAUUCGAUAUGCUAAUCUACUGUUUUUAAUUGUUCCUUUGGAGUGACUUUCUUCCUUAAAGUCCAUGAUAGCAUUUCGGUUAAACCCAAAAUAUUACUUGGGUUGACUAUGAUCUCCCAAUAUUCUGGUCAAGGCACAAUACAAAACAAGUGAUAAAACAAUACGAAAAAAGAACAAAACAUGGGAAAACACGUAAUUGGAACCUUGAAGGCAAAUAUUCCAUGUGCCGGAUGCAUACAAUUUAAAAUAUGACCCCUGUCUUCAAGAUUCAUAAGAAGGGAACAUCCAAUCAUUGCAAGUCCUGUGGGUUUCAUACACUUUCAUCUCUGUAAGAGGGAGGAAGAGCGAAAAGUUACUAAUUUCUCCGCUAUCAGAGAAUGCUAAUAACAUUUAGUUUUGCCAUGGAAUGCAGGGAUCUUUCAAAUAACAAUCUGACGGGGGAUCUUUUUCACUUUUUACUCCCAUCACAGGUUUGUUCUAAAGUGAAUUACAUGCAGGUUUUUACAACUUAUACUUUUUCACUUUUAACGGGCUGAGCCCAAAUCCUAAACUUAUUACUUUCCAGAUGGCUCUGUUUUGUUCCACUUCCAGCCUCUCCACAUCCAGGUUUUUACAACUUAUACUGUUCUUGUGAUAUUAACUCAAAUUUAUUCUGAGAGCUGGCUCUAUUUUGUUUCACAGACACUUGUGAUAUCAACUCCAGUCCAGUCCUAGUUAAUGUUUUUUUUGGUGUUUUUCUGUUAAAACUUUUCGUAAUACAACAUUAUUGUUGGAAUCACUGCUGUAAAGAUUUUAAGAAGAUGGUAGUUAGGAAAGGAAUAGAUUGAGGGUAUUUAUAUUAUUCUGAUUAGAAAGUUAAGUGAAUUUAUUGUUUUUGAUUUGUAAACAAAUUGCUUACAAAUAAUCAAAUUCUAUUAAACAAAAAUAAUUGCUUACAAUAAAGUAUAACUAUAAAUAUCAUUGUAAAAUGUAUUUUAUAAAUAUUUUUAAUUUAUGUUUUUUAACGAAUUGAGAACGAAUCAAACUGAAUAUCAUAUUGUCUAUGUGUCUUUGGCAAAUGAUACUACAGGUUACUACCGAAUUUCGUACCUUAACCGAAUUGCGAACUCGAACCAUACCCUGUAUGUGGCAACUAUGGGUGCCAAGUACUGGGGCUAUUUCUGGAGGGGGGCUAUUGCUGGAGGGGUUGCUGCUGGUUCUGCUUUCCUGUUUGCUGCACUUGCAAUUGCAUUUGCUUAUUGUCGACGAAGAAAAUCACAGGAUUAUUUCUUUGAUGAACCUGGUUAGUGAACUAUUAAGAGUAAUAUAGCUUGAUCAAGUUGGCAUUGUAUGGGAUGCAGGUUUCACUCAUCUACUGUCUUUGCAGCUGAGAAGGAUCCAGAAGUUCAUUUACGACAGUUCAAAAGGUUCUUUGAGCGAGCUACAAGUUGCGACGGAUACCUUUAGCGACAAAAAUAUUCUUGGUAGUGGUGGAUUUGGUAAGGUUUAUAAAGGACGCUUAGAUGAUGGAACUCUGGUUGCUGUAAAAAGACUUAAAGAGGAGAGAACCCAAGGCGGGGAGCUACAGUUCCAAACAGAAGUUGAAAUGAUUAGCAUGGCUGUCCACCGCAAUCUGCUUCGUGUGCAUGGUUUUUGCACGACACCAACAGAAAGGCUGCUUGUAUAUCCUUUUAUGGCCAAUGGAAGUGUGGCAUCAUGUUUAAGAGGUACUCAUCUAAAUUGUUUGCUGCGUUGAUGAAUCUUUUUGUUUUCAUGACAUUAAAAUUUUUUUGGAUUACAUUGAUAUAAUGAACCUGACCAAUUUGGUUUGGAGUAUGAACACUGAUUUUUUUUUUUUAAUGUUUUUUUUUUCCUUCAAUUUUAAGUUAUCUUCUCGAUGCUGAUUUUAUUUUGUUUAAUUUGAAAAGGAUGACAAGAUGACCCUUUUUUGGGUAGGACGGGUGGUAUGAUAUGUGUUAGACCACAUUACCUGUUGCUUGUAAUUUGAAAUUCUCCUCUCAUAAGUAUGUGGAUAUAUUAUUGUAGAUCGUCCAGAAGGACAACCUGCACUUGAUUGGCCAAUAAGACAACGCAUUGCAUUGGGAUCUGCAAAAGGUCUUGCUUAUUUACAUGAUCACUGUGAUCCAAAAAUUAUUCACCGUGAUGUGAAAGCAGCAAACAUAUUGUUGGAUGUGGAAUUCGAAGCAGUUGUUGGAGACUUUGGGUUGGCUAAACUCAUGGACUACAGGGAUACACAUGUUACCACAGCUGUACGUGGCACAAUUGGUCAUAUAGCACCAGAGUACUUUUCAACUGGAAAAUGUUCCGAGAAAACUGAUGUUUUUGGAUACGGAGUCAUGCUUCUUGAACUCAUCACUGGGCAGAGGGCUUUUGAUCCUCAGCUUGCGAGUCAUGAUGACCCCAUGUUAGUUGAUUGGGUAUGCAUUUACAUCUUUCUGUUUGUGUAUGUAGCUAAUUUAUUGUUAUAUGCAAGAUUAUUAUUUCUUGGGAGCAGCCUCUCCAUAAAUGGGGGUAAGGCUAGCCGACAUUCACCUCUUCCAGACCCUGCGUAAAGCGGGAGCCUUGUGCACUGGGUACGACCUUUAUGCAAGAUUAUUAUUUCCCAACAACAUUUGCAUUUCCUUAGUAAUUAGCUUUUAGAAAAUAAGUUUGGUUUAAUUAGCUUUUAUUAGUUAGAGUUGUGAUUAGCUGUGAAGAUUUGUUUAUCUUUAUUUAUAACAAUCUAAGGUUUAAGCUGUCAGAGUUAAUUUUUGCAUUUCCUUAGUAAUUGUUACCAUUCCUGUUUGAUUAAUGUAAAAAUCACUUGUCUUUUUGGCCCGAAUGUUGAAAACAGUAAGAAUCAUGGAUCAAAGAAAAGAAAUAAUACUUAACUUUUAGAAAAUAACUUUAGUUUAAUUGGCUUUUAUUAGUUAGAGUUACGAUUAAGCUGUGAAGAUAUAUUUAUCUUUAUUUAUGACAAUCUAAGGUUUAAAUUGUCAGAGAUUAAUUAUUACAUUUCCUUGGUAAUUGUUGUUAGUAUUGUUGUUGCUUCUUUUGCCAAUGUAUUGGCCUUGCUGUGAUUUCUUGAAGAAUUUGGCAUGUGUUUUGUAUCGAUCCUAAUUUCCUCAUCAUCUCUUUAUUCUCGCUAUCUUGGCCUCUUGCUUCUUUCUAUUCUCUCUAUUUGCAUCUUUGUCAAUUGUUAUAUUUGAAUGACGAUGCAUUUUUGUAAGCUAUUUGAUUUUCUGGAGAUACUGCGGCCCUUCAAAUUUUGAACAUUACAACACAUUUUCACUCUCCUAGGUGCCCUCACCUUUUGUUUCAAAUUGUAGAACUAUCUGACGUUUUCCGUUUUAUUUUAACUAAAACAAUUAGGUCAAAAGACUACUGAAAGAUCGAAGGUUGGAAACACUUGUUGAUGCUGAUCUAAAUGGUAAUUAUGUUGACGAUCAAGUGGAGCAGCUCAUCCAAGUAGCUCUACUGUGCACACAAGGCACCCCAGGGGAACGACCCAAGAUGUCAGAGGUUGUUCGGAUGCUGGAAGGCAAUGGUUUGGCUGAAAGAUGGGAGGAGUGGCAAAAAGAGUAGGUGUUCCACCAAGAUUUCAACCCUAUUCAUCAUCCAAGUACUAAUUGUAUCAUAGACUCAACUUUUCAUAUUCCUCCUGAUGAGUUGUCCGGUCCCAAAUGAUAUGCUCGUUGGUUCUGUCCCCUGUAUACAUCUAAGAAGCCUUCAGAGGACUGGAGAAUGUCCAUUUCGUAUUUCAGUGAUACCACAUUUGUG